rnacentral:rRNA from 1 species
GCCGUGAGCCAGCAACUAAGGUUCAAAACAACGGAAGCUCCUAAGCAGGGUCGGGCCCGGUUAGUACUUGGAUGGGAGACCACCUAGGAAGACCAGGUGCUGUAGGCG